UACAGGGGGUGCAAGCGUUAAUCGGAAUUACUGGGCGUAAAGCGUGCGCAGGCGGUUUUGUAAGCCAGAUGUGAAAUCCCCGGGCUUAACCUGGGAAUGGCAUUCGGGACUGCAAGGCUCGAGUGCGGCAGAGGAGACUGGAAUUCCUGGUGUAGCAGUGAAAUGCGUAGAUAUCAGGAGGAACACCGAUGGCGAAGGCAGGUCUCUGGGCUGACACUGACGCUCAUGCACGAAAGCGUGGGGAGCAAACAGG
rnacentral:rRNA from 1 species